GGUAGUCCACGCCGUAAACGAUGUCGACUUGGAGGUUGUGCCCUUGAGGCGUGGCUUCCGGAGCUAACGCGUUAAGUCGACCGCCUGGGGAGUACGGCCGCAAGGUUAAAACUCAAAUGAAUUGACGGGGGCCCGCACAAGCGGUGGAGCAUGUGGUUUAAUUCGAUGCAACGCGAAGAACCUUACCUACUCUUGACAUCCAGAGAACUUAGCAGAGAUGCUUUGGUGCCUUCGGGAACUCUGAGACAGGUGCUGCAUGGCUGUCGUCAGCUCGUGUUGUGGAAUGUUGGGUUAAGUCCCGCAACGAGCGCAACCCUUAUCCUUUGUUGCCAGCGGUUAGGCCGGGAACUCAAAGGAGACUGCCAGUGAUAAACUGGAGGAAGGUGGGGAUGACGUCAAGUCAUCAUGGCCCUUACGAGUAGGGCUACACACGUGCUACAAUGGCGCAUACAAAGAGAAGCGACCUCGCGAGAGCAAGCGGACCUCACAAAGUGCGUCGUAGUCCGGAUUGGAGUCUGCAACUCGACUCCAUGAAGUCGGAAUCGCUAGUAAUCGUAGAUCAGAAUGCUACGGUGAAUACGUUCCCGGGCCUUGUACACACCGCCCGUCACACCAUGGGAGUGGGUUGCAAAAGAAGUAGGUAGCUUAACCUUCGGGAGGGCGCUUACCACUUUGUGAUUCAUGACUGGGGUGAAGUCGUAACAAGGUAACCGUAGGGGAACCUGC
rnacentral:rRNA from 1 species